rnacentral:rRNA from 1 species
CCCUUAGAUGUUCUGGGCCGCACGCGCGCUACACUGAUGCAUUCAACGAGUCUAAAACCUGCUCUGAUAGGGGUGGGUAAUCUUUUGAAUGUGCAUCGUGAUUGUGAUAGAUGAUUGCAAUUUUUCAUCUUCAACGAGGAAUGCCUAGUAAACGCAAGUCAUCAGCUUGCAUUGAUUACGUCCCUGCCCUUUGUACACACCGCCCGUCGCUCCUACCGAUUGAAUGAUCCGAUGAAUAUCAUGGAUUGAGGAUGCAAGUAGGUUCGCCUAUCUUCAUCUUCGAGAAGUGAAGUAAAUCUUAUCAUUUAGAGGAAGGAGAAGUCGUAACA